AUUGAACGCUGGCGGCAUGCUUUACACAUGCAAGUCGAACGGCAGCGCGGGCUUCGGCCUGGCGGCGAGUGGCGAACGGGUGAGUAAUACAUCGGAACGUGCCCAGUAGUGGGGGAUAGCUCGGCGAAAGCCGGAUUAAUACCGCAUACGACCUGAGGGUGAAAGCGGGGGAUCUUCGGACCUCGCGCUAUUGGAGCGGCCGAUGGCAGAUUAGCUAGUUGGUGGGGUAAAGGCCUACCAAGGCGACGGUCUGUAGCUGGUCUGAGAGGACGACCAGCCACACUGGGACUGAGACACGGCCCAGACUCCUACGGGAGGCAGCAGUGGGGAAUUUUGGACAAUGGGCGAAAGCCUGAUCCAGCAAUGCCGCGUGUGUGAUGAAGGCCUGCGGGUUGUAAAGCACUUUUGGCGGGAACGAAAAGGACUGUGCCAAUACCACGGUUCGAUGACGGUACCCGCAGAAUAAGCACCGGCUAACUACGU
rnacentral:rRNA from 1 species